rnacentral:rRNA from 1 species
GAUUGCCUCAGUAACGGCGAGUGAAGCGGCAAAAGCUCAAAUUUUAAAGCUGGCACCUUCGGUGUCCGCGUUGUAAUUUUGUGAGGCAUCUCCGGGUAGGGCGCCGGCCUAAGUUCCUUGGAACAGGACGUCAUAGAGGGUGAGAAUCCCGUGCUUGGCUGGCUGUCCCCGUCCAUGUGAGGUGUCUUCGACGAGUCGAGUUGUUUGGGAAUGCAGCUCAAAAUGGGUGGUAAAUUUCAUCUAAAGCUAAAUAUUGGUGGGAGACCGAUAGCGCACAAGUAGAGUGAUCGAAAGAUGAAAAGCACUUUGAAAAUAGAGUUAAAAAGUACGUGAAAUUGUUGAAAGGGAAGCGCUUGAGACCAGACUUCGGUGGGGGGUGAUCAGCUGUCCUUCUGGGCGGUGCACUUGCUCCCCUCCGGGCCAGCAUCGGUUGGGGCGGCGGGAUAAAGAUCACGGGAAUGUGGCUCCUUUCGGGGAGUGUUAUAGCCCGGGUGAAUGCCGCCAGCUCCGACCGAGGACCGCGCCUUCGGGCUAGGAUG